rnacentral:tRNA from 1 species
GUGGGUAUAGCUCAGUGAUAGAGCGCGUGUUUUAACACGCACGAGAUCCUGAAUUCAAACCCCAGUACCCCCA